rnacentral:rRNA from 1 species
AGAAUCAACGCUGGCGGCGUGCCUAACACAUGCAAGUCGAACGAGAAAGUGGAGCAAUCCAUGAGUAAAGUGGCGACCGGGUGAGUAACACGUGACUAACCUACCUUCGAGUGGGGGAUAACCUCGGGAAACCGGGGCUAAUACCGCAUAAUAUCCACGGAUCAAAGGAGCAAUUCGCUUGAAGAGGGGUCGCGGCUGAUUAGUUAGUUGGCGGGGUAAUGGCCCACCAAGACAAUGAUCGGUA